GCAACAUGCAAAUAUCAAUUACAUUUUAUGUACUAUCACAUAUUAAAUAUUGCUUUUAUAUUAGCAUCAAAAAUACUUAUAAGUGGGAGUUCCCGUUGUGGCGCAUCAGAAACAAAUCCAACUAGUAUCCAUGAAGAUGAAGGUUCAAUCCCUGACCUCGCUCAGUGGGUCGGGGAUCUGGCGUUGCCGUGAGCUGUGGUACAGGUUGCAGACAUGGCUUGGGUCCCACACUGCUGUGACUGUGGCACAGGUAUAGCUCUGAUUCAACCCCUAGCCUAGGGCCUUCCAUAAGCCACACUCGCAGCCCUAAAAAACAAAACAAAACAAAACAAAAAAAACCCAAACUUAUAAGUAAGUUCCCUCAUGGAUCAGCAGAUUAAGGAUCCAGUGUUGUAACUCCUGUGGCUCUGGUCCUAUCCCUGGCCCAGGAACUUACACACACUGAGAGUAUGGCAAAAAAAAAAAAAAAAAAAAAAAAAAAAAAAAAAAAAAAAAAAAAAAAACUUAUGUAAAAAUUGAUGCUCAGCUAUGUACACUUAAAACCUCAAAGCAAUGCUGAGAAAAACUAACAAAGACCUAAAGAAAUGGAGAGAUAUACCAUGUUCAUGGAUCAGAAAAAAUCAAUACCAUGAAGACAUCGGUUCUCCCCAAAUUGCUACAUAGAUAUGAUGCAACCCCAAUCAACACCUCAGCACGACCUUUUUUGAGGACAAACUGACAAGCUUAUUCUAAAACUCAUAUGAAAUGAAAUGCAAGCCAGGCAGGGGCAAAUCUUUGAGAACCAUGGAAACCACGCUUCCUGGCUUGGAGUUUUUCUCGCAGGCACUGAGAAGGCAUUUCAACAUUAAGCAGAAGGACGACAUGACUGACCAGUGUUUUAGCUACAUCACACUGAAAUCCCAUGAGCAGCUUCCCGGCGGAUGCAGGAGCAGAGCAUGGACUGUGUGGCAGUGAGCGUGUGCAUUACCUACACCCUGAGAAGGUGGGUGAGAGGAAAGGGCAGAGCCGAUGGGGUCCUGAAAAGGAGACAUGGGGUCAUGAUGACAGUGACUUCCUUCUGGCUGUGCCUGAGCAGGAAUGAGGAGAUGGGCAGCCUCCUCUGGAGAGCAUCUUCAGGAGGAUGCAGGCUUCCAAGAAGAAAGAUGGAGAGAAGCUCUGUACACAGAAGGCAAGUUCAGCAAAUGUUCACAGCUUCCAAGGGCCUCCCUCAUAAAAUGUCCACACUAAGUGAAACAGUUUCUUCACCUUGAGAAUCCCAGCUGUUUAUCAUGGUGAAAGUCCAGUGAAUUGGGAGCCCAAGAGAAAACUGCUCUGCACACAGAAUUUAGCAUUGACAGCUCUCACAGUCACUUUCAUGCACUUUGUACUCACAAAAGUAACCCCCUCGGGGCUGCGUGAACUUUGAGAAGUUCUGUGUUUCCAGCAGGGCCCAGAUUAAGCAGUUUUUGAUUAUUCAAUUGCUGACUGAUUUGAUCUGAGCUAACUGUUCAGGCUUAGUUGCCUCACUCAGAAAAGCCCUUGGGACAAAAACCUGCGUCUACUCUGCACAGGCCACAAAACCUACAAACAGAAAUUACAACAGGCCUUGAGGUACGCUCAGCACACUCCUGCAGGCCCACGGCUCAUUCUAAAGUCUGAAUAUACAAACCUGAAAACGUCCCAAGAAUGCAGUGAACGCUCUGAAGUUUGCCGGUAUGUUGACAAAACCCACCCCUAAUAAAUACCUGCCUCCCUGAGAAAGGUUUGCCAGACCUGCAGUGAGGCCAGAGCUCAGCCCAUGCUCAGAGAAGUGACAGAUGCCACCACACCUUUGUGAAGAUUUGGCUAAAAGGACAAUAUGGAGGAAAGACAUGGUUGGUGGGGGAGCCCACCAAGGCUUCUCAGUAGGCUCGGGACUUUUGCUGGUAGAUUUGACUUCUACCAGCCCUUCCUCGGCUUUUCCACUUUAAGGGAAUGGGGCUGGGGGAGGGGGGGUAGGCCUGAAGCUUGUGAAGGAAGAACAGAGCCAGAGCUGCUGGCCCUGGUGCACAAGGACCUCGCAGUGUUUGUCUGCCGAGGCACCUGCCCAUGAGGGACUCCCACCUGUGGUGUCCCUUUGGCGCACCUGGUAGGAGAGGAGGGGCUCACAGCUUCUCUUAUUGACCAGUGACCACUAAUCUUCAAGUUGCUUGUGUUUAGAAGGAGCCCUACAGCGGUUCACUAAAGGUUUGCCUCGGCUCUGUCAUCUGACAGGAGUCACCCAGGUUUUGGGGUGAGUGUAUGAGGUUGAUCCCUCCCCCAUUUGUUCCCUACAAUCCCAUCACUAUCAUUUCAUAUCAGUUAACUGUUCUCAGGGAAUUUGCUUUAGGAUCAUACAGGUCCUGCCUUCACCAAGCAUCCUCACCUUGAUUUCAAACAGCAUCCCAACCCUCCAUUCAACAAACAAAUGGAACAUGGAAAGAAAGUCAAAAACCUCAGUUGGGUGUUAACGGUUGGCAGAAUUUUUCUACUUUCAGUUUAACAAUGACAGUACAUGUACUAUAAAAUAACUUGCAUUAUUUUAUAAAAGACAAAUAACAAUUUGUAUCUCAUUUCCGAGGCUCAACAAGUGACACGUUGCAGAAUAUUCUAGGUUUUGUGCUCAAGACGAAGCUAACCCAUGUUUUUGCGGUUCUAAUUCAAAGAGGGUGGGUGUCUCAUCUGUGUUCAGAACAGAAGGUCCUCUUAAAGAUGUGAAGACUACCCUUUGUUUGCAGUCACAGAAACUGUCUUUCAAAUAACUAAAGGAUCCGUUUUACCGGGAUAUUUUCCAGGAAAGCAAGGUCAGGCUGUAUCCCAAAGCUAGUGUCAGUUAUCAGCUUGCCUUCGUUUGGGAGGGUGCCUCUUUAACCAGCUUAAAAAUCGCCAGGGGUUUUCUCCAGACUCCACUGACAGCCUCCACCCCCACCUCAAGAAUGAAUGAGGGGAAAACAAACAACUAUUCCAAGUUCCUUUUGAUCUCAAUAACAUCACCCAAAACUGGAAGAUAACUCCUUGCGGACUCCCACCUGACAUCAGAGGAAAAGGACUGAGAGCAAGUCCCUCGCCCGCCCUUCUGCUUCUGCAGAGCAGUGGCCGCACGCACCAAAGAUGAGACCUCGGGGACCCAGGGUGCGGUCAGGCAUGGGGCUGUGAACCCUAACCAGCUACACCUGGAAAGUCAGCCCGGACGUCACAGUCAGAAAGCGGCCCCAGCGCCCCAGGCUGGCCCUCGCAGUGAGACUGCGCCGGCUCGGCAGCCAAUCGACGGCCGCCCAGACGUUGCUAUGGCCACGCCGCCUGUUAGGACUGUGCACGCCCC
rnacentral:lncRNA from 9 species